UUGGAAUAUAUAUAAAGUCUAACCUGCCCACUGAAAUUUUUAAAUGGCCGCAGUAUUUUGACUGUGCAAAGGUAGCAUAAUCAUUAGUUUUUUAAUUAAAAGCUUGUAUGAAAGGUUGGACGAAGUAAAAUCUGUCUCUAUUUAAUUUAAAUUAGAAUUUAAUUUUUAAGUUAAAAAGCUUAAAUUUUUAUAAAAGACGAGAAGACCCUAUAGAACUUUAUAAUUUAUUUAAUAUAAUUAAUUAAGAUUUAUUUAAGUUUUAUUAUAUAUAAUUAUUUUAUUGGGGUAAUAGAAAGAUUAAAAAAAUUCUUUUUUUUUAUUAACAUUUAUUUAUGAUAAUAUUAUUAAUGAUCCAUUUUUAAUGAUUAUAAGAUUAAGUUACCUUAGGGAUAACAGCGUAAUUUUUUUAAAGAGUUCAUAUCGAUAAAAAAGUUUGCGACCUCGAUGUUGGAUUAAAGAUUAAUUUAGGUGUAGAAGUUUAAAUUUUUGGUCUGUUCGACCAUUAAAUCUUUACAUGAUCUGAGUUCAGACCGGUGUAAGCCAGGUCGGUUUCUAUCUUUAUUAAAUUUAAAUAUUUUAGUACGAAAGGACCAAAUAUUUGAUAUAUUAAUAUUUAUUUUUUGAAUAUUAUUAAUUAUUUUGGCAGAUUAGUGCAAUGAAUUUAGAAUUCAUAUAUGUAAUUAUUUUUACAAGUAAUACUUGUUUUAUAUAGAUUUAUUAUUUUCUUUAAUUUUUAUAUUAUUAUUGAUUAUUUGUGUUUUAGUUGGAGU
rnacentral:rRNA from 1 species